rnacentral:rRNA from 1 species
AGCGAACGCUGGCGGCAGGCUUAACACAUGCAAGUCGAGCGCCCCGCAAGGGGAGCGGCAGACGGGAGAGUAACACGUGGGAACGUACCCUUUGGUUCGGAACAACCCAGGGAAACUUGGGCUAAUACCGGAUAAGUCCGUAAGGAGAAAGAUCUAUUGCCGAAGGAUCGGCCCGCGUCUGAUUAGCUUGUUGGUGAGGUAACGGCUCACCAAGGCGACGAUCAGUAGCUGGUCUGAGAGGAUGAUCAGCCUCACUGGGACUGAGACACGGCCCAGACUCCUACGGGAGGCAGCAGUGGGGAAUAUUGGACAAUGGGGGCAACCCUGAUCCAGCCAUGCCGCGUGGGUGAUGAAGGCCUUAGGGUUGUAAAGCCCUUUCGGCGGGGAAGAUAAUGACGGUACCCGCAGAAGAAGCCCCGGCUAACUUCGUGCCAGCCGCCGCCGUAA